rnacentral:rRNA from 1 species
UUGAACGCUGGCGGCAUGCCUUACACAUGCAAGUCGAACGGUAACAGGUUAAGCUGACGAGUGGCGAACGGGUGAGUAAUAUAUCGGAACGUGCCCAGUUGUGGGGGAUAACUACUCGAAAGAGUGGCUAAUACCGCAUGAGACCUGAGGGUGAAAGCGGGGGAUCGCAAGACCUCGCGCAAUUGGAGCGGCCGAUAUCAGAUUAGCUAGUUGGUGGGGUAAAAGCCCACCAAGGCCACGAUCUGUAGCUGGUCUGAGAGGACGACCAGCCACACUGGGACUGAGACACGGCCCAGACUCCUACGGGAGGCAGCAGUGGGGAAUUUUGGACAAUGGACGAAAGUCUGAUCCAGCCAUGCCGCGUGCGGGAAGAAGGCCUUCGGGUUGUAAACCGCUUUUGUCAGGGAAGAAAUCCUUUGAGCUAAUACCUCGGAGGGAUGACGGUACCUGAAGAAUAAGCACCGGCUAACUACGU